AAUAGAUACCCAGGUAGUCCACGCCGUAAACGAUGAGUACUAGCUGUCGGAGGUUACCCCCUUCGGUGGCGCAGCUAACGCAUUAAGUACUCCGCCUGGGAAGUACGCUCGCAAGAGUGAAACUCAAAGGGGAUUGACGGGGACCCGCACAAGUAGCGGAGCAUGUGGUUUAAUUCGAAGCAACGCGAAGAACCUUACCUAAGCUUGACAUCCUUUUGACCGAUGCCUAAUCGCAUUUUUCCCUUCGGGGACAGAAGUGACAGGUGGUGCAUGGUUGUCGUCAGCUCGUGUCGUGAGAUGUUGGGUUAAGUCCCGCAACGAGCGCAACCCUUGCCUUUAGUUGCCAGCAUUAAAGUUGGGCACUCUAGAGGGACUGCCAGGGAUAACCUGGAGGAAGGUGGGGAUGACGUCAAAUCAUCAUGCCCCUUAUGCUUAGGGCUACACACGUGCUACAAUGGGUGGUACAGAGGGCAGCCAAGUCGUGAGGCGGAGCUAAUCCCUUAAAGCCAUUCUCAGUUCGGAUUGUAGGCUGAAACUCG
rnacentral:rRNA from 1 species